UUUAAAUCAAGAAGCUUGAAGAAGAAGAAAAAAAAAAAAGAGUAUUCGGCCACCAUGGCUGAAUUUGAAGCCGUGGAAAUUGAUCACAAAAAAAUAUUUUCUUCUAGUAUUUCAACCAAAUGGAACGUCCUCUUUAACAUGGAAUGGUUAUUGGAGCAAUAAAAUCAUUCAUUGGUGCAAUAUACACCCUAGCCGAGCAAAGAGGAUGGGUGGAGGAAGACUAGCGAGCUUGGACAAUUAAGCGUAGCUAAUAGGACGUGGAGCAGUUGGUUUGGAAGGAAGAGGACUUGUUUCUUCAAGUUGACAAUUUAUUCAAGUAAAGAAUAUUGGAGAAGAAGGUUUCUGACGAAACGGGAUUCGAGCUUUGGCGAUCGUAAAGGGCAAGAAAGGUACAGACGACAGAUUUGCUGAACCGCCCGCUUAGGACUUUGUUUUGCUAUUUUGGAGCGCUCUUUUAUCCGGAGCCUAUAUCUUGGUACAGUCUUCUGUUAUUGUGUAUAUGUAUGCUAUUCAGGGGUACGACGGGGCCCUGUCCCGUCUUAGGAUUCUGUUUUGUUCUGUAGAGGUCUGUAGACAUACAUGUGGGUUCUAUAUAUGCUUUUGGGUUGUUAUGAUCUGUGAUGGCCUUAUCGGCUUCCACGUGUUAUACUUGCGCCUAUGUGAUAUUUAGUAACGCCAGUUGAAUCUUAUAUUGAUAUAUUAUGCUAAUAUGCCAGUUGGGGCUAUGGGGUACGUUUGGGUGUCCAGCACGGACACUAGUCAUGGCCUACGGGGUUGGGUCGUGACAAUAUUCUUGGCUUCCGUAAGUUGUUUCAUAUGGUUUUGAUGCGUAUCUAUGAUGUCCGAAGUUCGGUUGAUAUGUUUCCGAAUGGCAUUCGAGAGAUAAUUGAUGUGAUUAAUGUCUUGGUUGUCAAAUGAUAGCACGUUUGAUUAUUCCAUCGAGUCUUUGAUACAUUUUGAUACGUACAUAAGGUUCUAAAAUCUCUGUCGGAUGUGAUCCAUAACGAUAUUCGAAGGGUACCUAACAUGAUUGUUGCUCUGAUUUUCCAAAAAUGGCUUCUGAAACGUUCAUAGAAAGUUCUGUACUUCAAACGCUCAUAACUUUCUCAUACUAAAUCGGAUUGACCCGAAACUUGUUUCUAAGCCUUCAGGUGUCGGUAAGUAUACUUGUCUAUCGAGUCUUCCAUAAUAUAUUCGGAGGCUACCGACCUUACGUCACUCCGAUAGAGACAUAACAUUCUUUGGGCUCUCCUGCAUGUUGCUUACAUGAUAUGUGUAUAUGUUAUAUGUAUAUGUAUAUGGGGAAUAUGGAAAAGGGCCAGAGAGUUAUAUACGCGUAACCACCUGAUCAGUUGGUAUCGGAGCCGGUGGUGGGGCAAACCCAAUGGUGGGGCAAACCCAGCGGUGGGGCAAACCUCAGCAAGAACGCUGAGUCCCAAAAGGGGGUGAGUGUAAGGCUUGCCUUAGGCGAAUCCCACAUUGGUUUAGGCAAAUCCCACAUUGGUUCAGGAAAAUCCCACAUCGAUUAAUAUCGUCCCGGACGCGGGAUAUAUGUGGCUAAAUGGAUCGGAGCCGACGCCUCGGCAAUAUGAUAUGUUCUAUUUUCCAUAUAUAUGAAAAAGAAAUGUUUUUCAAAGAAAGCUAAGCAUGCAUGGUACCCGCUUAAAAGACACUCAGAUGUACAAGUUACUCUUUUACCCCAUGAUAUGCUCUAUAUCUCAAUUCUGUUAUUAUUCAUAAUUACAUCUCUUACUAUGUUACUAUUCAUGCCUUACAUACUCAGUACAUUGCUCGUACUGACCCCCUUUCUUCGGGGGCUGCGUUUCAUGC